rnacentral:tRNA from 1 species
UGGAGAGAUGGCUGAGUGGUUGAUAGCUCCGGUCUUGAAAACCGGUAUAGUUCGAAAGAACUAUCGAGGGUUCGAAUCCCCCUCUCUCCUU